CUCGGGUGCGCGGGCGCGGGGGCUGCCGGGAAGGCCGCCUACAAUUUCCCCGGAAGUUUGCGGGGCUGCUUUGGGUCCUUCAGUUUGCACGCCUCUGACGCCGCCCCGACCUGGCCAGGGGUCUCAGAGCAGUAUUUAGUGGUCAAACAGGCACAAGGGGUCUCAGGGCAGUAUUUGGCAGCGGUCAAACAUGUUCGGAAGAACGCUUCUCUGCCCGCGUGGGACGUGAGGUGAGUGGUGAAGCAAAGCACUCCUUAGCAGGCAAAGUAGGCCUUUACGGCAAGUAUGGGGGGGUGCCUGCCACCAGGGACUCCUUGCAGAUAUGGCCCCGCAUCCUUCAGGACACCUUAGAAGCCAGUAGCCACUUGACCCUGACGCUGGAUCUCCACCAGCCGAUAUCUGCGAGAAGAGCUAGAGAUAACUGGGAUCUACAUCUCUCUGGGAGAAGCCCCAGCAAAUGGCUCCUGGUGCAGAAGCAGAACUACUCCACCUUCCUUGCCCCUGGUCCAGGCUGCUCUGAGGUAUGACUGCCUCCAGAAUCUUCCCUGGAAUUGAGCCUGAAUUGUCCUUCAUGGGAUUUUGUUUGACAUUGACUAUUUGUGUGGCUCCCUCCUCUUCCCUCUCUUCCACACUCUCUUAGUUAUUCCUGGCAGCAUUUCUAACAAAUCAUUUUCAUAUGAAUCCUCAUCUUAGGGUCUGCUUCUGGGGAGUUGCUCUUAAGACAGUGUUAUAGUCAUUAAUGCUGUUUUAUCAUUAUCAUUAUUAUUAUUACUCUUUGCCUUCUGGACACAAGCUAGGGUUGUAUUUCUUGAUCUCCCAUGGUUGGGUGAUAGGCCAGUUAUAAGCUCUAGUAGAGGGUAUGUGUGCUGCUUCUGGACUGAGCAUCCAACGGCCAGGAUGAAAACUUUAGAGCUCUUUUCUCUCUGUUUUGGUGACCAAGAGUGUUCCAGAUAGUGACUGCUCUGUCAUCCUGGGACCUGAAGUCAGUGUGACAAAGUGGAUCAGAGCCCCACCUCUGAUUUGUAAUCAGAGUGAGAAAUAAACAUCUGUUGUGUUAAGCCA
rnacentral:lncRNA from 1 species